rnacentral:rRNA from 1 species
AGAGGAAGGCUCGUCCGCUCUGGGUUAGUCGGGUCCUAAGCUGAGGCCGACAGGCGUAGGCGAUGGAUAACAGGUUGAUAUUCCUGUACCACCUAUAAUCGUUUUAAUCGAUGGGGGGACGCAGUAGGAUAGGCGAAGCGUGCGAUUGGAUUGCACGUCUAAGCAGUAAGGCUGAGUAUUAGGCAAAUCCGGUACUCGUUAAGGCUGAGCUGUGAUGGGGAGAAGACAUUGUGUCUUCGAGUCGUUGAUUUCACACUGCCGAGAAAAGCCUCUAGAUAGAAAAUAGGUGCCCGUACCGCAAACCGACACAGGUAGUCAAGAUGAGAAUUCUAAGGUGAGCGAGCGAACUCUCGUUAAGGAACUCGGCAAAAUGACCCCGUAACUUCGGGAGAAGGGGUGCUCUUUAGGGUUAACGCCCAGAAGAGCCGCAGUGAAUAGGC